GAUGAGCAUGCGUCCCAUUAGCUAGUUGGUAAGGUAACGGCUUACCAAGGCGACGAUGGGUAGGGGUCCUGAGAGGGAGAUCCCCCACACUGGUACUGAGACACGGACCAGACUCCUACGGGAGGCAGCAGUGAGGAAUAUUGGUCAAUGGGCGCAAGCCUGAACCAGCCAUGCCGCGUGCAGGACGACGGUCCUAUGGAUUGUAAACUGCUUUUAUACAGGAAGAAACACUCCCUCGUGAGGGAGCUUGACGGUACUGUAGGAAUAAGGAUCGGCUAACUCCGUGCCAGCAGCCGCGGUAAUACGGAGGAUCCAAGCGUUAUCCGGAAUCAUUGGGUUUAAAGGGUCCGUAGGCGGUCUGAUAAGUCAGUGGUGAAAUCCCUACGCUUAACGUAGGAACGGCCAUUGAUACUGUCAGACUUGAAUUAUUAGGAAGUAACUAGAAUAUGUAGUGUAGCGGUGAAAUGCUUAGAGAUUACAUGGAAUACCAAUUGCGAAGGCAGGUU
rnacentral:rRNA from 1 species